rnacentral:rRNA from 1 species
AUUGAACGCUGGCGGCAGGCCUAACACAUGCAAGUCGAGCGGAUGAGGGAGGAUUGCUCCUGUAACCAGCGGCGGACGGGGGAGUGAUGCCUAGGAAAUUGCCUGCUUGUAGGGGAGAACGUCAGGCAACGGGCGGGAAUACCGCAUACGUCCUGAGGGAGAAAGGGGGGGAUGCUCGGACAUCGGGCUAUCGGAGGAGCCGAGGUCGGAUUAGCUAGUUGGUGGGGUAAAGGCCGACCAAGGCGAGGAUCCGUAACUGGUCUGAGAGGAUGAUCAGUCACACUGGAACUGAGACACGGUCCAGACUCCUACGGGAGGCAGCAGUGGGGAAUAUUGGACAAUGGGCGAAAGGCUGAUCCAGCCAUGCCGCGUGUGUGAAGCAGGUCUUCGGAUUGUAAAGCACUUUAAGUUGGGAGGAAGGGCAGUAAGUUAAUACCUUGCUGUUUUGACGUUACCAACAGAAUAAGCACCGGCUAACUUCGUG